CUCCAGUUGCAGUCCCAGCCCAGUUGCAGCCCCAGCCACAGCCCAUCCCUAGGACAGUCAAAAUAUUAGGGACUUUGAUUUAUAUGGACCACCCAUGACUCCUAAUAUCUUGGAUAAUUGCAGAAGCCACUGUCAAGCACAAUGUCCAAUAAUAAUUCUCCAAACUCCCAUCCAUGUAUGCACUUUCAUCAAAUAUUUCGUUAGCAGAAUUUCUAUGAGCACAGCCCCAGCCCAGCCACAGCCCCAGCCCAGCCACAGCCCCAACCCCAGCCACAGCCUAGCCCCAGCCCCAACCCCAGCCACAGCCACAGCCCUGCCACAGCCCAAGCCCAAGAUGGUCAAAAUAUUAGGGACUUUGAUCUAUGGACCACCCAUGACUCCUAAUAUCUUGGAUCAUUGCAGAAGCCACUGUCAAGCACAAUGUCCAAUAAUAAUUCUCCAAACUCCCAUCCAUGUGUGCACUCUCAUCAAAUAUGUCGUUACCAGAAUUUCUAUGAGCACAGCCCCAGCCCAGCCCGGC
rnacentral:lncRNA from 1 species